rnacentral:ribozyme from 14 species
UGAUGACAAUGAAGAACUAGAAGAUGGUGAUGAACUAAGUAGUGUUGUUUUUUGUUUUUUCACCUUAUUAUUUUUAUUUGUUUCUCCUAUUUC